rnacentral:miRNA from 1 species
UGGGGUGAUGGGUGUCCUGGUUUGCCUGGGACUGAGAGAUUUGCUGGAACCAGGACUUCUGGUGCCAUAACCUGGACAGUC